GAUAAACGCUGGCGGCGUGCUUAACACAUGCAAGUCGAACGAAGUUUUUCCUUCGGGAGCAACUUAGUGGCGGACGGGUGAGUAACGCGUGGGUAACCUGCCCUGUACAGGGGGACAACAGCUGGAAACGGCUGCUAAUACCGCAUAAGCCCUUAGCACUGCAUGGUGCAUAGGGAAAAGGAGCAAUCCGGUACAGGAUGGACCCGCGUCUGAUUAGCCAGUUGGCAGGGUAACGGCCUACCAAAGCGACGAUCAGUAGCCGAUCUGAGAGGAUGUACGGCCACAUUGGGACUGAGACACGGCCCAGACUCCCACGGGAGGCAGCAGUGGGGAAUAUUGCACAAUGGAGGAAACUCUGAUGCAGCGACGCCGCGUGAGUGAAGAAGUAUUUCGGUAUGUAAAGCUCUAUCAGCAGGGAAGAAAAUGACGGUACCUGACUAAGAAGCACCGGCUAAAUACGUG
rnacentral:rRNA from 1 species